rnacentral:lncRNA from 1 species
ACAUCAAUUGUGAAGAGUCAGUAAGCAUGUUCUCCAGAUCCAGACUUUUAGAAAAAAUAGAUGCUAUUGUUAAUAAUGAUCAAAUCUGACUCCAGAUGAUCUCGUCUUAUUGCAAUCUACCAAUUAUGGAUAUUAAUGGAAAUGACAUAUCGGAAAUGACCGGUAUUCCCCCUGUUCCUUUCAUAUCUGAUAUUCUAUUCAAUAUCUUUAUGGAUGACAUCGAACGGAG